rnacentral:lncRNA from 1 species
CUACCUUCAGAACAGAGCUUCACAGUUUGUACCCGACAGUCAUUGCCAAGGACCCAGAACUGAUAGUCAGGACUUUAAGGCUGGGUGAAUAAAAAAUUGAUGGUUGGAAAAUUAAGGAGGAGUUCUCUUGUUUGUGUUUUGACAUUUUGGAGGUGUUCACAGAUGAAAACAAGGACAAGCUGGGAGUUGAACCAGCGACCUUUGGAUCACAGCACUUCAUGUGAGGAACUUCCUACAGUCCUGUGCUCUACCAAAUGAGCUAUCGAGGUGCUCUCCACUCACUAGUGCAGAAAACAUAGUGGCUGAGACGACACACUUUGCCCACACAACUAUUUGAUCCACAUGGUCAAUGAAAAGCCCAGCCCUACCUGCAGAACAAAGCUUCGCAGUUUGUACCCAACAGUCAUUGCCAGGGACCCAGAACUGAUAAUCAGGACUUUUAGGCUUGGAUUUUGAUUGACAUGGCUAAUCAAAAGCCCAGUCCUACCUUCAGGACAGAGCUUCACAGUUUGUACCCAACAGUCAUUGCCAAGGACCCAGAACUGAUAGUCAGGACUUUAAGGCUGGGUGAAUAAAAAAUUGAUGGUUGGAAAAUUAAGGAGGAGUUCUCUUGUUUGUGUUUUGACAUUUUGGAGGUGUUCACAGAUGAAGACAAGCGGGGAGUUGAACCAGCGACCUUUGGAUCACAGCACUUCAUGUGAGGAACUUCCUAAAGUCCUCUGGUCUACCAACUGAGCUAUCGAGGUGCUCUCUACUCACAAGUGCAGAAAACAUAGUGGCUGAGACGACACACUUUGCCCACACAACUAUUUGAUCCACAUGGUCAAUGAAAAGCCCAGCCCUACCUGCAGAACAAAGCUUCGCAGUUUGUACCCAACAGUCAUUACCAGGGACCCAGAACUGAUAAUCAGGACUUUUAGGCUUGGCUUUUGAUUGACAUGGCCAAUCAAAAGCCCAGUCCUACCUUCAGAACAGAGCUUCACAGUUUGUACCCGACAGUCAUUGCCAAGGACCCAGAACUGAUAGUCAGGACUUUAAGGCUGGGUGAAUAAAAAAUUGAUGGUUGGAAAAUUAAGGAGGAGUUGUCUUGUUUGUGUUUUGACAUUUUGGAGGUGUUCACAGAUGAAGACAAGGACAAAUGGGGAGUUGAACCAGCGACCUUUGGAUCACAGCACUUCCUACAGUCCUCUGCUCUACCAACUGAGCUAUCGAGGUGCUCUCUACUCACAAGUGCAGAAAGCAUAGUGGCUGAGACGACACACUUUGCCCACACAACUAUUUGAUCCACAUGGUCAAUGAAAAGCAAAGCCCUACCUGCAGAACAAAGCUUCGCAGUUUGUACCCAACAGUCAUUGCCAGGGACCCAGAACUGAUAAUCAGGACUUUUAGGCUUGGAUUUUGAUUGACAUGGCUAAUCAAAAGCCCAGUCCUACCUUCAGGACAGAGCUUCACAGUUUGUACCCAACAGUCAUUGCCAAGGACCCAGAACUGAUAGUCAGGACUUUAAGGCUGGGUGAAUAAAAAAUUGAUGGUUGGAAAAUUAAGGAGGAGUUGUCUUGUUUGUGUUUUGACAUUUUGGAGGUGUUCACAGAUGAAGACAAGGACAAAUGGGGAGUUGAACCAGCGACCUUUGGAUCACAGCACUUCCUACAGUCCUCUGCUCUACCAACUGAGCUAUCGAGGUGCUCUCUACUCACAAGUGCAGAAAGCAUAGUGGCUGAGACGACACACUUUGCCCACACAACUAUUUGAUCCACAUGGUCAAUGAAAAGCAAAGCCCUACCUGCAGAACAAAGCUUCGCAGUUUGUACCCAACAGUCAUUGCCAGGGACCCAGAACUGAUAAUCAGGACUUUUAGGCUUGGAUUUUGAUUGACAUGGCUAAUCAAAAGCCCAGUCCUACCUUCAGGACAGAGCUUCACAGUUUGUACCCAACAGUCAUUGCCAAGGACCCAGAACUGAUAGUCAGGACUUUAAGGCUGGGUGAAUAAAAAAAUGAUGGUUGGAAAAUUAAGGAGGAGUUCUCUUGUUUGUGUUUUGACAUUUUGGAGGUGUUCACAGAUGAAGACAAGCGGGGAGUUGAACCAGCGACCUUUGGAUCACAGCACUUCAUGUGAGGAACUUCCUAAAGUCCUCUGCUCUACCAACUGAGCUAUCGAGGUGCUGUCUACUCACAAGUGCAGAAAACAUAGUGACUGAGACGACAUACUUUGCCCACACAACUAUUUGAUCCACAUGGUCAAUGAAAAGCCCAGCCCUACCUGCAGAACAAAGCUUCGCAGUUUGUACCCAACAGUCAUUACCAGGGACCCAGAACUGAUAAUCAGGACUUUUAGGCUUGGCUUUUGAUUGACAUGGCCAAUCAAAAGCCCAGUCCUACCUUCAGAACAGAGCUUCACAGUUUGUACCCGACAGUCAUUGCCAAGGACCCAGAACUGAUAGUCAGGACUUUAAGGCUGGGUGAAUAAAAAAUUGAUGGUUGGAAAAUUAAGGAGGAGUUGUCUUGUUUGUGUUUUGACAUUUUGGAGGUGUUCACAGAUGAAGACAAGCGGGGAGUUGAACCAGCGACCUUUGGAUCACAGCACUUAAUGUGAGGAACUUCCUAAAGUCCUCUGCUCUACCAACUGAGCUAUCGAGGUGCUGUCUACUCACACGUGCAGAAAACAUAGUGGCUGAGACGACAUACUUUGCCCACACAACUAUUUGAUCCACAUGGUCAAUGAAAAGCCCAGCCCUACCUGCAGAACAAAGCUUCGCAGUUUGUACCCAACAGUCAUUGCCAGGGACCCAGAACUGAUAAUCAGGACUUUUAGGCUUGGCUUUUUAUUGACAUGGCUAAUCAAAAGCCCAGUCCUACCUUCAGAACAGAGCUUCACAGUUUGUACCCGACAGUCAUUGCCAAGGACCCAGAACUGAUAGUCAGGACUUUAAGGCUGAGUGAAUAAAAAAUUGAUGGUUGGAAAAUUAAGGAGGAGUUCUCUUGUUUGUGUUUUGACAUUUUGGAGGUGUUCACAGAUGAAGACAAGGACAAAUGGGGAGUUGAACCAGCGACCUUUGGAUCACAGCACUUCCUACAGUCCUCUGCUCUACCAACUGAGCUAUCGAGGUGCUCUCUACUCACAAGUGCAGAAAACAUAGUGGCUGAGACGACACACUUUGCCCACACAACUAUUUGAUCCACAUGGUCAAUGAAAAGCCCAGCCCUACCUGCAGAACAAAGCUUCGCAGUUUGUACCCAACAGUCAUUACCAGGGACCCAGAACUGAUAAUCAGGACUUUUAGGCUUGGCUUUUGAUUGACAUGGCCAAUCAAAAGCCCAGUCCUACCUUCAGAACAGAGCUUCACAGUUUGUACCCGACAGUCAUUGCCAAGGACCCAUAACUGAUAGUCAGGACUUUAAGGCUGGGUGAAUAAAAAAUUGUUGUUUGGAAAAUUAAGGAGGAGUUCUCUUGUUUGUGUUUUGACAUUUUGGAGGUGUUCACAGAUGAAGACAAGCACAAAUGGGGAGUUGAACCAGCGACCUUUGGAUCACAGCACUUCAUGUGAGGAACUUGCUACAGUCCUCUGCUCUACCAACUGAGCUAUCGAGGUGCUCUCUACUCACAAGUGCAGAAAACAUAGUGGCUGAGACGACACACUUUGCCCACACAACUAUUUGAUCCACAUGGUCAAUGAAAAGCCAAGCCCUACCUGCAGAACAAAGCUUCGCAGUUUGUACCCAACAGUCAUUGCCAGGGACCCAGAACUGAUAAUCAGGACUUUUAGGCUUGGAUUUUGAUUGACAUGGCUAAUCAAAAGCCCAGUCCUACCUUCAGGACAGAGCUUCACAGUUUGUACCCAACAGUCAUUGCCAAGGACCCAGAACUGAUAGUCAGGACUUUAAGGCUGGGUGAAUAAAAAAUUGAUGGUUGGAAAAUUAAGGAGGAGUUCUCUUGUUUGUGUUUUGACAUUUUGGAGGUGUUCACAGAUGAAGACAAGCGGGGAGUUGAACCAGCGACCUUUGGAUCACAGCACUUCAUGUGAGGAACUUCCUAAAGUCCUCUGCUCUACCAACUGAGCUAUCGAGGUGCUCUCUACUCACAAGUGCAGAAAACAUAGUGGCUGAGACGACACACUUUGCCCACACAACUAUUUGAUCCACAUGGUCAAUGAAAAGCCCAGCCCUACCUGCAGAACAAAGCUUCGCAGUUUGUACCCAACAGUCAUUACCAGGGACCCAGAACUGAUAAUCAGGACUUUUAGGCUUGGCUUUUGAUUGACAUGGCCAAUCAAAAGCCCAGUCCUACCUUCAGAACAGAGCUUCACAGUUUGUACCCGACAGUCAUUGCCAAGGACCCAGAACUGAUAGUCAGGACUUUAAGGCUGGGUGAAUAAAAAAUUGAUGGUUGGAAAAUUAAGGAGGAGUUCUCUUGUUUGUGUUUUGACAUUUUGGAGGUGUUCACAGAUGAAGAGAAGGACAAAUGGGGAGUUGAACCAGCGACCUUUGGAUCACAGCACUUCCUACAGUCCUCUGCUCUACCAACUGAGCUAUCGAGGUGUUCUCUACUCACAAGUGCAGAAAACAUAGUGGCUGAGACGACACACUUUGCCCACACAACUAUUUGAUCCACAUGGUCAAUGAAAAGCCCAGCCCUACCUGCAGAACAAAGCUUCGCAGUUUGUACCCAACAGUCAUUGCCAGAGACCCAGAACUGAUAAUCAGGACUUUUAGACUUGGAUUUUGAUUGACAUGGCUAAUCAAAAGCCCAGUCCUACCUUCAGGACAGAGCUUCACAGUUUGUACCCAACAGUCAUUGCCAAGGACCCAGAACUGAUAGUCAGGACUUUAAGGCUGGGUGAAUAAAAAAUUGAUGGUUGGAAAAUUAAGGAGGAGUUCUCUUGUUUGUGUUUUGACAUUUUGGAGGUGUUCACAGAUGAAGACAAGGACAAAUGGGGAGUUGAACCAGCGACCUUUGGAUCACAGCACUUCCUACAGUCCUCUGCUCUACCAACUGAGCUAUCGAGGUGCUCUCUACUCACAAGUGCAGAAAACAUAGUGGCUGAGACGACACACUUUGCCCACACAACUAUUUGAUCCACAUGGUCAAUGAAAAGCCCAGCCCUACCUGCAGAACAAAGCUUCGCAGUUUGUACCCAACAGUCAUUACCAGGGACCCAGAACUGAUAAUCAGGACUUUUAGGCUUGGCUUUUGAUUGACAUGGCCAAUCAAAAGCCCAGUCCUACCUUCAGAACAGAGCUUCACAGUUUGUACCCGACAGUCAUUGCCAAGGACCCAGAACUGAUAGUCAGGACUUUAAGGCUGGGUGAAUAAAAAAUUGAUGGUUGGAAAAUUAAGGAGGAGUUCUCUUGUUUGUGUUUUGACAUUUUGGAGGUGUUCACAGAUGAAGACAAGCGGGGAGUUGAACCAGCGACAUUUGGAUCACAGCACUUCAUGUGAGGAACUUCCUAAAGUCCUCUGCUCUACCAACUGAGCUAUCGAGGUGCUCUCUACUCACAAGUGCAGAAAACAUAGUGGCUGAGACGACACACUUUGCCCACACAACUAUUUGAUCCACAUGGUCAAUGAAAAGCCCAGCCCUACCUGCAGAACAAAGCUUCGCAGUUUGUACCCAACAGUCAUUACCAGGGACCCAGAACUGAUAAUCAGGACUUUUAGGCUUGGCUUUUGAUUGACAUGGCCAAUCAAAAGCCCAGUCCUACCUUCAGAACAGAGCUUCACAGUUUGUACCCGACAGUCAUUGCCAAGGACCCAGAACUGAUAGUCAGGACUUUAAGGCUGGGUGAAUAAAAAAUUGUUGUUUGGAAAAUUAAGGAGGAGUUCUCUUGUUUGUGUUUUGACAUUUUGGAGGUGUUCACAGAUGAAGACAAGGACAAAUGGGGAGUUGAACUAGCGACCUUUGGAUCACAGCACUUCAUGUGAGGAACUUGCUACAGUCCUCUGCUCUACCAACUGAGCUAUCGAGGUGCUCUCUACUCACAAGUGCAGAAAACAUAGUGGCUGAGACGACACACUUUGCCCACACAACUAUUUGAUCCACAUGGUCAAUGAAAAGCCAAGCCCUACCUGCAGAACAAAGCUUCGCAGUUUGUACCCAACAGUCAUUGCCAGGGACCCAGAACUGAUAAUCAGGACUUUUAGGCUUGGAUUUUGAUUGACAUGGCUAAUUAAAAGCCCAGUCCUACCUUCAGGACAGAGCUUCACAGUUUGUACCCAACAGUCAUUGCCAAGGACCCAGAACUGAUAGUCAGGACUUUAAGGCUGGGUGAAUAAAAAAUUGAUGGUUGGAAAAUUAAGGAGGAGUUCUCGUGUUUGGGUUUAGACAUUUUGGAGGUGUUCACAGAUGAAGACAAGCGGGGAGUUGAACCAGCGACCUUUGGAUCACAGCACUUCAUGUGAGGAACUUCCUAAAGUCCUCUGCUCUACCAACUGAGCUAUCGAGGUGCUCCCUACUCACAAGUGCAGAAAACAUAGUGGCUGAGACGACACACUUUGCCCACACAACUAUUUGAUCCACAUGGUCAAUGAAAAGCCCAGCCCUACCUGCAGAACAAAGCUUCGCAGUUUGUACCCAACAGUCAUUACCAGGGACCCAGAACUGAUAAUCAGGACUUUUAGGCUUGGCUUUUGAUUGACAUGGCCAAUCAAAAGCCCAGUCCUACCUUCAGAACAGAGCUUCACAGUUUGUACCCGACAGUCAUUGCCAAGGACCCAGAACUGAUAGUCAGGACUUUAAGGCUGGGUGAAUAAAAAAUUGAUGGUUGGAAAAUUAAGGAGGAGUUGUCUUGUUUGUGUUUUGACAUUUUGGAGUUUUUCAAAGAUGAAGACAAGGACAAAUGGGGAGUUGAACCAGCGACCUUUGGAUCACAGCACUUCCUACAGUCCUCUGCUCUACCAACUGAGCUAUCGAGGUGCUCUCUACUCACAAGUGCAGAAAACAUAGUGGCUGAGACGACACACUUUGCCCACACAACUAUUUGAUCCACAUGGUCAAUGAAAAGCCAAGCCCUACCUGCAGAACAAAGCUUCGCAGUUUGUACCCAACAGUCAUUGCCAGGGACCCAGAACUGAUAAUCAGGACUUUUAGGCUUGGAUUUUGAUUGACAUGGCUAAUCAAAAGCCCAGUCCUACCUUCAGGACAGAGCUUCACAGUUUGUACCCAACAGUCAUUGCCAAGGACCCAGAACUGAUAGUCAGGACUUUAAGGCUGGGUGAAUAAAAAAUUGAUGGUUGGAAAAUUAAGGAGGAGUUCUCUUGUUUGUGUUUUGACAUUUUGGAGGUGUUCACAGAUGAAGACAAGCGGGGAGUUGAACCAGCGACCUUUGGAUCACAGCACUUCAUGUGAGGAACUUCCUACAGUCCUCUGCUCUACCAACUGAGCUAUCGAGGUGCUCUCUACUCACAAGUGCAGAAAACAUAGUGGCUGAGACGACAUACUUUGCCCACACAACUAUUUGAUCCACAUGGUCAAUGAAAAGCCCAGCCCUACCUGCAGAAUAAAGCUUCGCAGUUUGUACCCAACAGUCAUUGCCAGGGACCCAGAACUGAUAAUCAGGACUUUUAGGCUUGGCUUUUGAUUGACAUGGCUAAUCAAAAGCCCAGUCCUACCUUCAGAACAGAGCUUCACAGUUUGUACCCGACAGUCAUUGCCAAGGACCCAGAACUGAUAGUCAGGACUUUAAGGCUGGGUGAAUAAAAAAUUGAUGGUUGGAAAAUUAAGGAGGAGUUCUCUUGUUUGUGUUUUGACAUUUUGGAGGUGUUCACAGAUGAAAACAAGGACAAGCUGGGAGUUGAACCAGCGACCUUUGGAUCACAGCACUUCAUGUGAGGAACUUCCUACAGUCCUCUGCUCUACCAACUGAGCUAUCGAGGUGCUCUCCACUCACUAGUGCAGAAAACAUAGUGGCUGAGACGACACACUUUGCCCACACAACUAUUUGAUCCACAUGGUCAAUGAAAAGCCAAGCCCUACCUGCAGAACAAAGCUUCGCAGUUUGUACCCAACAGUCAUUGCCAGGGACCCAGAACUGAUAAUCAGGACUUUUAGGCUUGGAUUUUGAUUGACAUGGCUAAUCAAAAGCCCAGUCCUACCUUCAGAACAGAGCUUCACAGUUUGUACCCGACAGUCAUUGCCAAGGACCCAGAACUGAUAGUCAGGACUUUAAGGCUGGGUGAAUAAAAAAUUGAUGGUUGGAAAAUUAAGGAGGAGUUCUCUUGUUUGUGUUUUGAGAUUUUGGAGGUGUUCACAGAUGAAGACAAGGACAAGCGGGGAGUUGAACCAGCGACCUUUGGAUCACAGCACUUCAUGUGAGGAACUUCCUACACUUCUCUGCUCUACCAACUGAGCUAUCGAGGUGCUGUCUACCCACAAGUGCAGAAAACAUAGUGGCUGAGACGACACACUUUGCCCACACAAUUAUUUGAUCCACAUGGUCAAUGAAAAGCCAAGCCCUACCUGCAGAACAAAGCUUCGCAGUUUGUACCCAACAGUCAUUGUCAGGGACCCGGAACUGAUAAUCAGGACUUUUAGGCUUGGCUUUUGAUUGACAUGGCCAAUCAAAAGCCCAGUCCUACCUUCAGAACAGAGCUUCACAGUUUGUACCCGACAGUCAUUGCCAAGGACCCAGAACUGAUAGUCAGGACUUUAAGGCUGGGUGAAUAAAAAAUUGAUGGUUGGAAAAUUAAGGAGGAGUUCUAUUGUUUUUUUUUUGACAUUUUGGAGGUGUUCACAGAUGAAGACAAGCGAGGAGUUGAACCAGCAACCUUUGGAUCACAGCACUUCAUGUGAGGAACUUCCUACAGUCCUCUGCUCUACCAACUGAGCUAUCAAGGUGCUCUCUACUCACGAUUGCAGAAAACAUAGUGGCUGAGACGACACACUUUGCCCACACAACUAUUUGAUCCACAUGGUCAAUGAAAAGCCCAGCCCUACCUGAAGAACAAAGCUUCGCAGUUUGUACCCAACAGUCAUUGCCAGGGACCCAGAACUGAUAAUCAGGACUUUUAGGCUUGGAUUUUGAUUGACAUGGCUAAUCAAAAGCCCAGUCCUACCUUCAGGACAGAGCUUCACAGUUUGUACCCAACAGUCAUUGCCAAGGACCCAGAACUGAUAGUCAGGACUUUAAGGCUGGGUGAAUAAAAAAUUGAUGGUUGGAAAAUUAAGGAGGAGUUCUCUUGUUUGUGUUUUUUCAUUUUGGAGGUGUUCACAGAUGAAGACAAGCGGGGAGUUGAACCAGCGACCUUUGGAUCACAGCACUUCAUGUGAGGAACUUCCUACAGUCCUCUGCUGUACCAACUGAGCUAUCGAGGUGCUGUCUACUCACAAGUGCAGAAAACAUAGUGGCUGAGACGACAUACUUUGCCCACACAACUAUUUGAUCCACAUGGUCAAUGAAAAGCCCGGCCCUACCUGCAGAACAAAGCUUCGCAGUUUGUACCCAACAGUCAUUACCAGGGACCCAGAACUGAUAAUCAGGACUUUUAGGCUUGGCUUUUGAUUGACAUGGCCAAUCAAAAGCCCAGUCCUACCUUCAGAACAGAGCUUCACAGUUUGUACCCGACAGUCAUUGCCAAGGACCCAGAACUGAUAGUCAGGACUUUAAGGCUGGGUGAAUAAAAAAUUGAUGGUUGGAUAAUUAAGGAGGAGUUCUCUUGCUUUGUUUUGAUAUUUUGGAGGUGUUCACAGAUGAAGACAAGGACAAGCGGGGAGUUGAACCAGCAACCUUUGGAUCACAGGACUUCCAACAGUCCUCUGCUCUACCAACUGAGCUAUCGAGGUGCUCUCUACUCACAAGUGCAGAAAACAUAGUGGCUGAGACGACACACUUUGCCCACACAACUAUUUGAUCCGCAUGGUCAAUGAAAAGCCCAGCCCUACCUGCAGAAUAAAGCUUCGCAGUUUGUACCCAACAGUCAUUGCCAGGGACCCAGAACUGAUAAUCAGGACUUUUAGGCUUGGCUUUUGAUUGACAUGGCCAAUCAAAAGCCCAGUCCUACCUUAAGAACAGAGCUUCACAGUUUGUAUCCGACAGUCAUUGCCAAGGACCCAGAACUGAUAGUCAGGACUUUAAGGCUGAGUGAAUAAAAAAUUGAUGGUUGGAAAAUUAAGGAGGAGUUCUCUUGUUUGUGUUUUGAGAUUUUGGAGGUGUUCACAGAUGAAGACAAGGACAAGCGGGGAGUUGAACCAGCGACCUUUGGAUCACAGCAUUUCAUGUGAGGAACUUCCUAAGGUCCUCUGCUCUACCAACUGAGCUAUCGAGGUGCUCUCUACCCACAAGUGCAGAAAACAUAGUGGCUGAGACGACACACUUUGCCCACACAAUUAUUUGAUCCACAUGGUCAAUGAAAAGCCAAGCCCUACCUGCAGAACAAAGCUUCGCAGUUUGUACCCAACAGUCAUUGCCAGGGACCCAGAACUGAUAAUCAGGACUUUUAGGCUUGGAUUUUGAUUGACAUGGCUAAUCAAAAGCCCAGUCCUACCUUCAGGACAGAGCUUCACAGUUUGUACCCAACAGUCAUUGCCAAGGACCCAGAACUGAUAGUCAGGACUUUAAGGCUGGGUGAAUAAAAAAUUGAUGGUUGGAAAAUUAAGGAGGAGUUCUCUUGUUUGUGUUUUGACAUUUUGGAGGUGUUCACAGAUGAAGACAAGGACAAAUGGGGAGUUGAACCAGCGACCUUUGGAUCACAGCACUUCCUACAGUCCUCUGCUCUACCAACUGAGCUAUCGAGGUGCUCUCUACUCACAAGUGCAGAAAGCAUAGUGGCUGAGACGACACACUUUGCCCACACAACUAUUUGAUCCACAUGGUCAAUGAAAAGCAAAGCCCUACCUGCAGAACAAAGCUUCGCAGUUUGUACCCAACAGUCAUUGCCAGGGACCCAGAACUGAUAAUCAGGACUUUUAGGCUUGGAUUUUGAUUGACAUGGCUAAUCAAAAGCCCAGUCCUACCUUCAGGACAGAGCUUCACAGUUUGUACCCAACAGUCAUUGCCAAGGACCCAGAACUGAUAGUCAGGACUUUAAGGCUGGGUGAAUAAAAAAAUGAUGGUUGGAAAAUUAAGGAGGAGUUCUCUUGUUUGUGUUUUGACAUUUUGGAGGUGUUCACAGAUGAAGACAAGCGGGGAGUUGAACCAGCGACCUUUGGAUCACAGCACUUCAUGUGAGGAACUUCCUAAAGUCCUCUGCUCUACCAACUGAGCUAUCGAGGUGCUGUCUACUCACAAGUGCAGAAAACAUAGUGACUGAGACGACAUACUUUGCCCACACAACUAUUUGAUCCACAUGGUCAAUGAAAAGCCCAGCCCUACCUGCAGAACAAAGCUUCGCAGUUUGUACCCAACAGUCAUUACCAGGGACCCAGAACUGAUAAUCAGGACUUUUAGGCUUGGCUUUUGAUUGACAUGGCCAAUCAAAAGCCCAGUCCUACCUUCAGAACAGAGCUUCACAGUUUGUACCCGACAGUCAUUGCCAAGGACCCAGAACUGAUAGUCAGGACUUUAAGGCUGGGUGAAUAAAAAAUUGAUGGUUGGAAAAUUAAGGAGGAGUUCUCUUGUUUGUGUUUUGACAUUUUGGAGGUGUUCACAGAUGAAGACAAGCGGGGAGUUGAACCAGCGACCUUUGGAUCACAGCACUUAAUGUGAGGAACUUCCUACAGUCCUCUGCUCUACCAACUGAGCUAUCGAGGUGCUCUCUACUCACAAGUGCAGAAAACAUAGUGGCUGAGACGACACACUUUGCCCACACAACUAUUUGAUCCACAUGGUCAAUGAAAAGCCCAGCCCUACCUGCAGAACAAAGCUUCGCAGUUUGUACCCAACAGUCAUUACCAGGGACCCAGAACUGAUAAUCAGGACUUUUAGGCUUGGCUUUUGAUUGACAUGGCCAAUCAAAAGCCCAGUCCUACCUUCAGAACAGAGCUUCACAGUUUGUACCCGACAGUCAUUGCCAAGGACCCAGAACUGAUAGUCAGGACUUUAAGGCUGGGUGAAUAAAAAAUUGAUGGUUGGAAAAUUAAGGAGGAGUUCUCUUGUUUGUGUUUUGACAUUUUGGAGGUGUUCACAGAUGAAGAGAAGGACAAAUGGGGAGUUGAACCAGCGACCUUUGGAUCACAGCACUUCCUACAGUCCUCUGCUCUACCAACUGAGCUAUCGAGGUGCUCUCUACUCACAAGUGCAGAAAACAUAGUGGCUGAGACGACACACUUUGCCCACACAACUAUUUGAUCCACAUGGUCAAUGAAAAGCCCAGCCCUACCUGCAGAACAAAGCUUCGCAGUUUGUACCCAACAGUCAUUGCCAGAGACCCAGAACUGAUAAUCAGGACUUUUAGACUUGGAUUUUGAUUGACAUGGCUAAUCAAAAGCCCAGUCCUACCUUCAGGACAGAGCUUCACAGUUUGUACCCAACAGUCAUUGCCAAGGACCCAGAACUGAUAGUCAGGACUUUAAGGCUGGGUGAAUAAAAAAUUGAUGGUUGGAAAAUUAAGGAGGAGUUCUCUUGUUUGUGUUUUGACAUUUUGGAGGUGUUCACAGAUGAAGACAAGGACAAAUGGGGAGUUGAACCAGCGACCUUUGGAUCACAGCACUUCCUACAGUGCUCUGCUCUACCAACUGAGCUAUCGAGGUGCUCUCUACUCACAAGUGCAGAAAACAUAGUGGCUGAGACGACACACUUUGCCCACACAACUAUUUGAUCCACAUGGUCAAUGAAAAGCCCAGCCCUACCUGCAGAACAAAGCUUCGCAGUUUGUACCCAACAGUCAUUACCAGGGACCCAGAACUGAUAAUCAGGACUUUUAGGCUUGGCUUUUUAUUGACAUGGCCAAUCAAAAGCCCAGUCCUACCUUCAGAACAGAGCUUCACAGUUUGUACCCGACAGUCAUUGCCAAGGACCCAGAACUGAUAGUCAGGACUUUAAGGCUGGGUGAAUAAAAAAUUGUUGUUUGGAAAAUUAAGGAGGAGUUCUCUUGUUUGUGUUUUGACAUUUUGGAGGUGUUCACAGAUGAAGACAAGGAGAAAUGGGGAGUUUAACCAGCGACCUUUGGAUCACAGCACUUCAUGUGAGGAACUUCCUACAGUCCUCUGCUCUACCAACUGAGCUAUCGAGGUGCUCUCUACUGACAAGUGCAGAAAACAUAGUGGCUGAGACGACACACUUUGCCCACACAACUAUUUGAUCCACAUGGUCAAUGAAAAGCCAAGCCCUACCUGCAGAACAAAGCUUCGCAGUUUGUACCCAACAGUCAUUGCCAGGGACCCAGAACUGAUAAUCAGGACUUUUAGGCUUGGAUUUUGAUUGACAUGGCUAAUUAAAAGCCCAGUCCUACCUUCAGGACAGAGCUUCACAGUUUGUACCCAACAGUCAUUGCCAAGGACCCAGAACUGAUAGUCAGGACUUUAAGGCUGGGUGAAUAAAAAAUUGAUGGUUGGAAAAUUAAGGAGGAGUUCUCGUGUUUGGGUUUAGACAUUUUGGAGGUGUUCACAGAUGAAGACAAGCGGGGAGUUGAACCAGCGACCUUUGGAUCACAGCACUUCAUGUGAGGAACUUCCUAAAGUCCUCUGCUCUACCAACUGAGCUAUCGAGGUGCUCCCUACUCACAAGUGCAGAAAACAUAGUGGCUGAGACGACACACUUUGCCCACACAACUAUUUGAUCCACAUGGUCAAUGAAAAGCCCAGCCCUACCUGCAGAACAAAGCUUCGCAGUUUGUACCCAACAGUCAUUGCCAGGGACCCAGAACUGAUAAUCAGGACUUUUAGGCUUGGCUUUUGAUUGACAUGGCCAAUCAAAAGCCCAGUCCUACCUUCAGAACAGAGCUUCACAGUUUGUACCCGACAGUCAUUGCCAAGGACCCAGAACUGAUAGUCAGGACUUUAAGGCUGGGUGAAUAAAAAAUUGAUGGUUGGAAAAUUAAGGAGGAGUUGUCUUGUUUGUGUUUUGACAUUUUGGAGUUUUUCACAGAUGAAGACAAGGACAAAUGGGGAGUUGAACCAGCGACCUUUGGAUCACAGCACUUCCUACAGUCCUCUGCUCUACCAACUGAGCUAUCGAGGUGCUCUCUACUCACAAGUGCAGAAAACAUAGUGGCUGAGACGACACACUUUGCCCACACAACUAUUUGAUCCACAUGGUCAAUGAAAAGCCAAGCCCUACCUGCAGAACAAAGCUUCGCAGUUUGUACCCAACAGUCAUUGCCAGGGACCCAGAACUGAUAAUCAGGACUUUUAGGCUUGGAUUUUGAUUGACAUGGCUAAUCAAAAGCCCAGUCCUACCUUCAGGAACAGAGCUUCACAGUUUGUACCCAACAGUCAUUGCCAAGGACCCAGAACUGAUAGUCAGGACUUUAAGGCUGGGUGAAUAAAAAAUUGAUGGUUGGAAAAUUAAGGAGGAGUUCUCUUGUUUGUGUUUUGACAUUUUGGAGGUGUUCACAGAUGAAGACAAGCGGGGAGUUGAACCAGCGACCUUUGGAUCACAGCACUUCAUGUGAGGAACUUCCUACAGUCCUCUGCUCUACCAACUGAGCUAUCGAGGUGCUGUCUACUCACAAGUGCAGAAAACAUAGUGGCUGAGACGACAUACUUUGCCCACACAACUAUUUGAUCCACAUGGUCAAUGAAAAGCCCAGCCCUACCUGCAGAAUAAAGCUUCGCAGUUUGUACCCAACAGUCAUUGCCAGGGACCCAGAACUGAUAAUCAGGACUUUUAGGCUUGGCUUUUGAUUGACAUGGCUAAUCAAAAGCCCAGUCCUACCUUCAGAACAGAGCUUCACAGUUUGUACCCGACAGUCAUUGCCAAGGACCCAGAACUGAUAGUCAGGACUUUAAGGCUGGGUGAAUAAAAAAUUGAUGGUUGGAAAAUUAAGGAGGAGUUCUCUUGUUUGUGUUUUGACAUUUUGGAGGUGUUCACAGAUGAAAACAAGGACAAGCUGGGAGUUGAACCAGCGACCUUUGGAUCACAGCACUUCAUGUGAGGAACUUCCUACAGUCCUGUGCUCUACCAACUGAGCUAUCGAGGUGCUCUCCACUCACAAGUGCAGAAAACAUAGUGGCUGAGACGACACACUUUGCCCACACAACUAUUUGAUCCACAUGGUCAAUGAAAAGCCAAGCCCUACCUGCAGAACAAAGCUUCGCAGUUUGUACCCAACAGUCAUUGCCAGGGACCCAGAACUGAUAAUCAGGACUUUUAGGCUUGGAUUUUGAUUGACAUGGCUAAUCAAAAGCCCAGUCCUACCUUCAGGACAGAGCUUCACAGUUUGUACCCAACAGUCAUUGCCAAGGACCCAGAACUGAUAGUCAGGACUUUAAGGCUGGGUGAAUAAAAAAUUGAUGGUUGGAAAAUUAAGGAGGAGUUCUCUUGUUUGUGUUUUGACAUUUUGGAGGUGUUCACAGAUGAAGACAAGCGGGGAGUUGAACCAGCGACCUUUGGAUCACAGCACUUCAUGUGAGGAACUUCCUAAAGUCCUCUGCUCUACCAACUGAGCUAUCGAGGUGCUCUCUACUCACAAGUGCAGAAAACAUAGUGGCUGAGACGACACACUUUGCCCACACAACUAUUUGAUCCACAUGGUCAAUGAAAAGCCCAGCCCUACCUGCAGAACAAAGCUUCGCAGUUUGUACCCAACAGUCAUUACCAGGGACCCAGAACUGAUAAUCAGGACUUUUAGGCUUGGCUUUUGAUUGACAUGGCCAAUCAAAAGCCCAGUCCUACCUUCAGAACAGAGCUUCACAGUUUGUACCCGACAGUCAUUGCCAAGGACCCAGAACUGAUAGUCAGGACUUUAAGGCUGGGUGAAUAAAAAAUUGAUGGUUGGAAAAUUAAGGAGGAGUUGUCUUGUUUGUGUUUUGACAUUUUGGAGGUGUUCACAGAUGAAGACAAGGACAAAUGGGGAGUUGAACCAGCGACCUUUGGAUCACAGCACUUCCUACAGUCCUCUGCUCUACCAACUGAGCUAUCGAGGUGCUCUCUACUCACAAGUGCAGAAAGCAUAGUGGCUGAGACGACACACUUUGCCCACACAACUAUUUGAUCCACAUGGUCAAUGAAAAGCCCAGCCCUACCUGCAGAACAAAGCUUCGCAGUUUGUACCCAACAGUCAUUACCAGGGACCCAGAACUGAUAAUCAGGACUUUUAGGCUUGGAUUUUGAUUGACAUGGCUAAUCAAAAGCCCAGUCCUACCUUCAGGACAGAGCUUCACAGUUUGUACCCAACAGUCAUUGCCAAGGACCCAGAACUGAUAGUCAGGACUUUAAGGCUGGGUGAAUAAAAAAUUGAUGGUUGGAAAAUUAAGGAGGAGUUCUCUUGUUUGUGUUUUGACAUUUUGGAGGUGUUCACAGAUGAAGACAAGCGGGGAGUUGAACCAGCGACCUUUGGAUCACAGCACUUCAUGUGAGGAACUUCCUAAAGUCCUCUGGUCUACCAACUGAGCUAUCGAGGUGCUCUCUACUCACAAGUGCAGAAAACAUAGUGGCUGAGACGACACACUUUGCCCACACAACUAUUUGAUCCACAUGGUCAAUGAAAAGCCCAGCCCUACCUGCAGAACAAAGCUUCGCAGUUUGUACCCAACAGUCAUUACCAGGGACCCAGAACUGAUAAUCAGGACUUUUAGGCUUGGCUUUUGAUUGACAUGGCCAAUCAAAAGCCCAGUCCUACCUUCAGAACAGAGCUUCACAGUUUGUACCCGACAGUCAUUGCCAAGGACCCAGAACUGAUAGUCAGGACUUUAAGGCUGGGUGAAUAAAAAAUUGAUGGUUGGAAAAUUAAGGAGGAGUUGUCUUGUUUGUGUUUUGACAUUUUGGAGGUGUUCACAGAUGAAGACAAGGACAAAUGGGGAGUUGAACCAGCGACCUUUGGAUCACAGCACUUCCUACAGUCCUCUGCUCUACCAACUGAGCUAUCGAGGUGCUCUCUACUCACAAGUGCAGAAAGCAUAGUGGCUGAGACGACACACUUUGCCCACACAACUAUUUGAUCCACAUGGUCAAUGAAAAGCCCAGCCCUACCUGCAGAACAAAGCUUCGCAGUUUGUACCCAACAGUCAUUACCAGGGACCCAGAACUGAUAAUCAGGACUUUUAGGCUUGGCUUUUGAUUGACAUGGCCAAUCAAAAGCCCAGUCCUACCUUCAGAACAGAGCUUCACAGUUUGUACCCGACAGUCAUUGCCAAGGACCCAGAACUGAUAGUCAGGACUUUAAGGCUGGGUGAAUAAAAAAUUGAUGGUUGGAAAAUUAAGGAGGAGUUGUCUUGUUUGUGUUUUGACAUUUUGGAGUUUUUCACAGAUGAAGACAAGGACAAAUGGGGAGUUGAACCAGCGACCUUUGGAUCACAGCACUUCAUGUGAGGAACUUGCUACAGUCCUCUGCUCUACCAACUGAGCUAUCGAGGUGCUCUCCACUCACUAGUGCAGAAAACAUAGUGGCUGAGACGACACACUUUGCCCACACAACUAUUUGAUCCACAUGGUCAAUGAAAAGCCCAGCCCUACCUGCAGAACAAAGCUUCGCAGUUUGUACCCAACAGUCAUUGCCAGGGACCCAGAACUGAUAAUCAGGACUUUUAGGCUUGGAUUUUGAUUGACAUGGCUAAUCAAAAGCCCAGUCCUACCUUCAGGACAGAGCUUCACAGUUUGUACCCAACAGUCAUUGCCAAGGACCCAGAACUGAUAGUCAGGACUUUAAGGCUGGGUGAAUAAAAAAUUGAUGGUUGGAAAAUUAAGGAGGAGUUCUCUUGUUUGUGUUUUGACAUUUUGGAGGUGUUCACAGAUGAAGACAAGCGGGGAGUUGAACCAGCGACCUUUGGAUCACAGCACUUCAUGUGAGGAACUUCCUAAAGUCCUCUGCUCUACCAACUGAGCUAUCGAGGUGCUCUCUACUCACAAGUGCAGAAAACAUAGUGGCUGAGACGACACACUUUGCCCACACAACUAUUUGAUCCACAUGGUCAAUGAAAAGCCCAGCCCUACCUGCAGAACAAAGCUUCGCAGUUUGUACCCAACAGUCAUUACCAGGGACCCAGAACUGAUAAUCAGGACUUUUAGGCUUGGCUUUUGAUUGACAUGGCCAAUCAAAAGCCCAGUCCUACCUUCAGAACAGAGCUUCACAGUUUGUACCCGACAGUCAUUGCCAAGGACCCAGAACUGAUAGUCAGGACUUUAAGGCUGGGUGAAUAAAAAAUUGAUGGUUGGAAAAUUAAGGAGGAGUUGUCUUGUUUGUGUUUUGACAUUUUGGAGGUGUUCACAGAUGAAGACAAGGACAAAUGGGGAGUUGAACCAGCGACCUUUGGAUCACAGCACUUCCUACAGUCCUCUGCUCUACCAACUGAGCUAUCGAGGUGCUCUCUACUCACAAGUGCAGAAAGCAUAGUGGCUGAGACGACACACUUUGCCCACACAACUAUUUGAUCCACAUGGUCAAUGAAAAGCCCAGCCCUACCUGCAGAACAAAGCUUCGCAGUUUGUACCCAACAGUCAUUACCAGGGACCCAGAACUGAUAAUCAGGACUUUUAGGCUUGGAUUUUGAUUGACAUGGCUAAUCAAAAGCCCAGUCCUACCUUCAGGACAGAGCUUCACAGUUUGUACCCAACAGUCAUUGCCAAGGACCCAGAACUGAUAGUCAGGACUUUAAGGCUGGGUGAAUAAAAAAUUGAUGGUUGGAAAAUUAAGGAGGAGUUCUCUUGUUUGUGUUUUGACAUUUUGGAGGUGUUCACAGAUGAAGACAAGCGGGGAGUUGAACCAGCGACCUUUGGAUCACAGCACUUCAUGUGAGGAACUUCCUACAGUCCUCUGCUCUACCAACUGAGCUAUCGAGGUGCUGUCUACUCACAAGUGCAGAAAACAUAGUGGCUGAGACGACAUACUUUGCCCACACAACUAUUUGAUCCACAUGGUCAAUGAAAAGCCCAGCCCUACCUGCAGAACAAAGCUUCGCAGUUUGUACCAAACAGUCAUUGCCAGGGACCCAGAACUGAUAAUCAAGACUUUUAGGCUUGGCUUUUGAUUGACAUGGCUAAUCAAAAGCCCAGUCCUACCUUCAGAACAGAGCUUCACAGUUUGUACCCGACAGUCAUUGCCAAGGACCCAGAACUGAUAGUCAGGACUUUAAGGCUGGGUGAAUAAAAAAUUGAUGGUUGGAAAAUUAAGGAGGAGUUCUCUUGUUUGUGUUUUGACAUUUUGGAGGUGUUCACAGAUGAAAACAAGGACAAGCUGGGAGUUGAACCAGCGACCUUUGGAUCACAGCACUUCAUGUGAGGAACUUCCUACAGUCCUGUGCUCUACCAAAUGAGCUAUCGAGGUGCUCUCCACUCACUAGUGCAGAAAACAUAGUGGCUGAGACGACACACUUUGCCCACACAACUAUUUGAUCCACAUGGUCAAUGAAAAGCCCAGCCCUACCUGCAGAACAAAGCUUCGCAGUUUGUACCCAACAGUCAUUGCCAGGGACCCAGAACUGAUAAUCAGGACUUUUAGGCUUGGAUUUUGAUUGACAUGGCUAAUCAAAAGCCCAGUCCUACCUUCAGGACAGAGCUUCACAGUUUGUACCCAACAGUCAUUGCCAAGGACCCAGAACUGAUAGUCAGGACUUUAAAUUGGGUGAAUAAAAAAUUGAUGGUUGGAAAAUUAAGGAGGAGUUCUCUUGUUUGUGUUUUGACAUUUUGGAGGUGUUCACAGAUGAAGACAAGCGGGGAGUUGAACCAGCGACCUUUGGAUCACAGCACUUCAUGUGAGGAACUUCCUAAAGUCCUCUGCUCUACCAACUGAGCUAUCGAGGUGCUCUCUACUCACAAGUGCAGAAAACAUAGUGGCUGAGACGACACACUUUGCCCACACAACUAUUUGAUCCACAUGGUCAAUGAAAAGCCCAGCCCUACCUGCAGAACAUAGCUUCGCAGUUUGUACCCAACAGUCAUUACCAGGGACCCAGAACUGAUAAUCAGGACUUUUAGGCUUGGCUUUUGAUUGACAUGGCCAAUCAAAAGCCCAGUCCUACCUUCAGAACAGAGCUUCACAGUUUGUACCCGACAGUCAUUGCCAAGGACCCAGAACUGAUAGUCAGGACUUUAAGGCUGGGUGAAUAAAAAAUUGAUGGUUGGAAAAUUAAGGAGGAGUUGUCUUGUUUGUGUUUUGACAUUUUGGAGGUGUUCACAGAUGAAGACAAGGACAAAUGGGGAGUUGAACCAGCGACCUUUGGAUCACAGCACUUCCUACAGUCCUCUGCUCUACCAACUGAGCUAUCGAGGUGCUCUCUACUCACAAGUGCAGAAAGCAUAGUGGCUGAGACGACACACUUUGCCCACACAACUAUUUGAUCCACAUGGUCAAUGAAAAGCAAAGCCCUACCUGCAGAACAAAGCUUCGCAGUUUGUACCCAACAGUCAUUGCCAGGGACCCAGAACUGAUAAUCAGGACUUUUAGGCUUGGAUUUUGAUUGACAUGGCUAAUCAAAAGCCCAGUCCUACCUUCAGGACAGAGCUUCACAGUUUGUACCCAACAGUCAUUGCCAAGGACCCAGAACUGAUAGUCAGGACUUUAAGGCUGGGUGAAUAAAAAAUUGAUGGUUGGAAAAUUAAGGAGGAGUUGUCUUGUUUGUGUUUUGACAUUUUGGAGGUGUUCACAGAUGAAGACAAGGACAAAUGGGGAGUUGAACCAGCGACCUUUGGAUCACAGCACUUCCUACAGUCCUCUGCUCUACCAACUGAGCUAUCGAGGUGCUCUCUACUCACAAGUGCAGAAAGCAUAGUGGCUGAGACGACACACUUUGCCCACACAACUAUUUGAUCCACAUGGUCAAUGAAAAGCAAAGCCCUACCUGCAGAACAAAGCUUCGCAGUUUGUACCCAACAGUCAUUGCCAGGGACCCAGAACUGAUAAUCAGGACUUUUAGGCUUGGAUUUUGAUUGACAUGGCUAAUCAAAAGCCCAGUCCUACCUUCAGGACAGAGCUUCACAGUUUGUACCCAACAGUCAUUGCCAAGGACCCAGAACUGAUAGUCAGGACUUUAAGGCUGGGUGAAUAAAAAAAUGAUGGUUGGAAAAUUAAGGAGGAGUUCUCUUGUUUGUGUUUUGACAUUUUGGAGGUGUUCACAGAUGAAGACAAGCGGGGAGUUGAACCAGCGACCUUUGGAUCACAGCACUUCAUGUGAGGAACUUCCUAAAGUCCUCUGCUCUACCAACUGAGCUAUCGAGGUGCUGUCUACUCACAAGUGCAGAAAACAUAGUGACUGAGACGACAUACUUUGCCCACACAACUAUUUGAUCCACAUGGUCAAUGAAAAGCCCAGCCCUACCUGCAGAACAAAGCUUCGCAGUUUGUACCCAACAGUCAUUACCAGGGACCCAGAACUGAUAAUCAGGACUUUUAGGCUUGGCUUUUGAUUGACAUGGCCAAUCAAAAGCCCAGUCCUACCUUCAGAACAGAGCUUCACAGUUUGUACCCGACAGUCAUUGCCAAGGACCCAGAACUGAUAGUCAGGACUUUAAGGCUGGGUGAAUAAAAAAUUGAUGGUUGGAAAAUUAAGGAGGAGUUCUCUUGUUUGUGUUUUGACAUUUUGGAGGUGUUCACAGAUGAAGACAAGCGGGGAGUUGAACCAGCGACCUUUGGAUCACAGCACUUAAUGUGAGGAACUUCCUACAGUCCUCUGCUCUACCAACUGAGCUAUCGAGGUGCUCUCUACUCACAAGUGCAGAAAACAUAGUGGCUGAGACGACACACUUUGCCCACACAACUAUUUGAUCCACAUGGUCAAUGAAAAGCCCAGCCCUACCUGCAGAACAAAGCUUCGCAGUUUGUACCCAACAGUCAUUGCCAGGGACCCAGAACUGAUAAUCAGGACUUUUAGGCUUGGCUUUUGAUUGACAUGGCUAAUCAAAAGCCCAGUCCUACCUUCAGAACAGAGCUUCACAGUUUGUACCCGACAGUCAUUGCCAAGGACCCAGAACUGAUAGUCAGGACUUUAAGGCUGGGUGAAUAAAAAAUUGAUGGUUGGAAAAUUAAGGAGGAGUUCUCUUGUUUGUGUUUUGACAUUUUGGAGGUGUUCACAGAUGAAGAGAAGGACAAAUGGGGAGUUGAACCAGCGACCUUUGGAUCACAGCACUUCCUACAGUCCUCUGCUCUACCAACUGAGCUAUCGAGGUGCUCUCUACUCACAAGUGCAGAAAACAUAGUGGCUGAGACGACACACUUUGCCCACACAACUAUUUGAUCCACAUGGUCAAUGAAAAGCCCAGCCCUACCUGCAGAACAAAGCUUCGCAGUUUGUACCCAACAGUCAUUGCCAGAGACCCAGAACUGAUAAUCAGGACUUUUAGACUUGGAUUUUGAUUGACAUGGCUAAUCAAAAGCCCAGUCCUACCUUCAGGACAGAGCUUCACAGUUUGUACCCAACAGUCAUUGCCAAGGACCCAGAACUGAUAGUCAGGACUUUAAGGCUGGGUGAAUAAAAAAUUGAUGGUUGGAAAAUUAAGGAGGAGUUCUCUUGUUUGUGUUUUGACAUUUUGGAGGUGUUCACAGAUGAAGACAAGGACAAAUGGGGAGUUGAACCAGCGACCUUUGGAUCACAGCACUUCCUACAGUGCUCUGCUCUACCAACUGAGCUAUCGAGGUGCUCUCUACUCACAAGUGCAGAAAACAUAGUGGCUGAGACGACACACUUUGCCCACACAACUAUUUGAUCCACAUGGUCAAUGAAAAGCCCAGCCCUACCUGCAGAACAAAGCUUCGCAGUUUGUACCCAACAGUCAUUACCAGGGACCCAGAACUGAUAAUCAGGACUUUUAGGCUUGGCUUUUGAUUGACAUGGCCAAUCAAAAGCCCAGUCCUACCUUCAGAACAGAGCUUCACAGUUUGUACCCGACAGUCAUUGCCAAGGACCCAGAACUGAUAGUCAGGACUUUAAGGCUGGGUGAAUAAAAAAUUGUUGUUUGGAAAAUUAAGGAGGAGUUCUCUUGUUUGUGUUUUGACAUUUUGGAGGUGUUCACAGAUGAAGACAAGGAGAAAUGGGGAGUUUAACCAGCGACCUUUGGAUCACAGCACUUCAUGUGAGGAACUUCCUACAGUCCUCUGCUCUACCAACUGAGCUAUCGAGGUGCUCUCUACUGACAAGUGCAGAAAACAUAGUGGCUGAGACGACACACUUUGCCCACACAACUAUUUGAUCCACAUGGUCAAUGAAAAGCCAAGCCCUACCUGCAGAACAAAGCUUCGCAGUUUGUACCCAACAGUCAUUGCCAGGGACCCAGAACUGAUAAUCAGGACUUUUAGGCUUGGAUUUUGAUUGACAUGGCUAAUCAAAAGCCCAGUCCUACCUUCAGGACAGAGCUUCACAGUUUGUACCCAACAGUCAUUGCCAAGGACCCAGAACUGAUAGUAAGGACUUAAAGGCUGGGUGAAUAAAAAAUUGAUGGUUGGAAAAUUAAGGAGGAGUUCUCUUGUUUGUGUUUUGACAUUUUGGAGGUGUUCACAGAUGAAGACAAGCGGGGAGUUGAACCAGCGACCUUUGGAUCACAGCACUUCAUGUGAGGAACUUCCUAAAGUCCUCUGCUCUACCAACUGAGCUAUCGAGGUGCUCUCUACUCACAAGUGCAGAAAACAUAGUGGCUGAGACGACAUACUUUGCCCACACAACUAUUUGAUCCACAUGGUCAAUGAAAAGCCCAGCCCUACCUGCAGAACAAAGCUUCGCAGUUUGUACCCAACAGUCAUUGCCAGGGACCCAGAACUGAUAAUCAGGACUUUUAGGCUUGGCUUUUGAUUGACAUGGCUAAUCAAAAGCCCAGUCCUACCUUCAGAACAGAGCUUCACAGUUUGUACCCGACAGUCAUUGCCAAGGACCCAGAACUGAUAGUCAGGACUUUACAGGCUGGGUGAAUAAAAAAUUGAUGGUUUGGAAAAUUAAGGAGGAGUUCUCUUGUUUGUGUUUUGACAUUUUGGAGGUGUUCACAGAUGAAGACAAGGACAAAUGGGGAGUUGAACUAGCGACCUUUGGAUCACAGCACUUCAUGUGAGGAACUUCCUACAGUCCUCUGCUCUACCAACUGAGCUAUCGAGGUGCUCUCUACUCACAAGUGCAGAAAACAUAGUGGCUGAGACGACACACUUUGCCCACACAACUAUUUGAUCCACAUGGUCAAUGAAAAGCAAAGCCCUACCUGCAGAACAAAGCUUCGCAGUUUGUACCCAACAGUCAUUGCCAGGGACCCAGAACUGAUAAUCAGGACUUUUAAGCUUGGCUUUUGAUUGACAUGGCUAAUCAAAAGCCCAGUCCUACCUUCAGGACAGAGCUUCACAGUUUGUACCCGACAGUCAUUGCCAAGGACCCAGAACUGAUAGUCAGGACUUUAAGGCUGGGUGAAUAAAAAAUUGAUGGUUGGAAAAUUAAGGAGGAGUUGUCUUGUUUGUGUUUUGACAUUUUGGAGGUGUUCACAGAUGAAGACAAGGACAAAUGGGGAGUUGAACCAGCGACCUUUGAUCACAACUUCCUACAGUCCUCUGCUCUACCAACUGAGCUAUCGAGGUGCUCUCUACUCACAAGUGCAGAAAGCAUAGUGGCUGAGACGACACACUUUGCCCACACAACUAUUUGAUCCACAUGGUCAAUGAAAAGCAAAGCCCUACCUGCAGAACAAAGCUUCGCAGUUUGUACCCAACAGUCAUUGCCAGGGACCCAGAACUGAUAAUCAGGACUUUUAGGCUUGGAUUUUGAUUGACAUGGCUAAUCAAAAGCCCAGUCCUACCUUCAGAACAGAGCUUCACAGUUUGUACCCAACAGUCAUUGCCAAGGACCCAGAACUGAUAGUCAGGACUUUAAUUGGGUGAAUAAAAAAUUGAUGGUUGGAAAAUUAAGGAGGAGUUCUCUUGUUUGUGUUUUGACAUUUUGGAGGUGUUCACAGAUGAAGACAAGCGGGGAGUUGAACCAGCGACCUUUGGAUCACAGCACUUCAUGUGAGGAACUUCCUACAGUCCUCUGCUCUACCAACUGAGCUAUCGAGGUGCUGUCUACUCACAAGUGCAGAAAACAUAGUGGCUGAGACGACAUACUUUGCCCACACAACUAUUUGAUCCACAUGGUCAAUGAAAAGCCCAGCCCUACCUGCAGAACAAAGCUUCGCAGUUUGUACCCAACAGUCAUUACCAGGGACCCAGAACUGAUAAUCAGGACUUUUAGGCUUGGCUUUUGAUUGACAUGGCUAAUCAAAAGCCCAGUCCUACCUUCAGAACAGAGCUUCACAGUUUGUACCCGACAGUCAUUGCCAAGGACCCAGAACUGAUAGUCAGGACUUUAAGGCAUUGGGUGAAUAAAAAAUUGAUGGUUGGAAAAUUAAGGAGGAGUUCUCUUGUUUGUGUUUUGACAUUUUGGAGGUGUUCACAGAUGAAGACAAGCGGGGAGUUGAACCAAGCGACCUUUGGAUCACAGCACUUCAUGUGAGGAACUUCCUACAGUCCUCUGCUCUACCAACUGAGCUAUCGAGGUGCUCUCUACUCACAAGUGCAGAAAACAUAGUGGCUGAGACGACACACUUUGCCCACACAACUAUUUGAUCCACAUGGUCAAUGAAAAGCCCAGCCCUACCUGACGAACAAAGCUUCGCAGUUUGUACCCAACAGUCAUUGCCAGGGACCCAGAACUGAUAAUCAGGACUUUUAGGCUUGGCUUUUGAUUGACAUGGCCAAUCAAAAGCCCAGUCCUACCUUCAGAACAGAGCUUCACAGUUUGUACCCGACAGUCAUUGCCAAGGACCCAGAACUGAUAGUCAGGACUUUAAGGCUGGGUGAAUAAAAAAUUGAUGGUUGGAAAAUUAAGGAGGAGUUCUCUUGUUUGUGUUUUGACAUUUUGGAGGUGUUCACAGAUGAAAACAAGGACAAUAUGGGGAGUUGAACCAGCGACCUUUGGAUCACAGCACUUCCUACAGUCCUCUGCUCUACCAACUGAGCUAUCGAGGUGCUCUCUACUCACAAGUGCAGAAAACAUAGUGGCUGAGACGACACACUUUGCCCACACAACUAUUUGAUCCACAUGGUCAAUGAAAAGCCCAGCCCUACCUGCAGAACAAAGCUUCGCAGUUUGUACCCAACAGUCAUUGCCAGGGACCCAGAACUGAUAAUCAGGACUUUUAGGCUUGGAUUUUGAUUGACAUGGCUAAUCAAAAGCCCAGUCCUACCUUCAGGACAGAGCUUCACAGUUUGUACCCAACAGUCAUUGCCAAGGACCCAGAACUGAUAGUCAGGACUUUAAGGCUGGGUGAAUAAAAAAUUGAUGGUUGGAAAAUUAAGGAGGAGUUCUCUUGUUUGUGUUUUGACAUUUUGGAGGUGUUCACAGAUGAAGACAAGGACAAAUGGGGAGUUGAACCAGCGACCUUUGGAUCACAGCACUUCCUACAGUCCUCUGCUCUACCAACUGAGCUAUCGAGGUGCUCUCUACUCACAAGUGCAGAAAACAUAGUGGCUGAGACGACACACUUUGCCCACACAACUAUUUGAUCCACAUGGUCAAUGAAAAGCCCAGCCCUACCUGCAGAACAAAGCUUCGCAGUUUGUACCCAACAGUCAUUGCCAGGGACCCAGAACUGAUAAUCAGGACUUUUAGGCUUGGCUUUUUAUUGACAUGGCUAAUCAAAAGCCCAGUCCUACCUUCAGAACAGAGCUUCACAGUUUGUACCCGACAGUCAUUGCCAAGGACCCAGAACUGAUAGUCAGGACUUUAAAUUGGGUGAAUAAAAAAUUGAUGGUUGGAAAAUUAUGGAGGGAUUCUCUUGUUUGUGUUUUGACAUUUUGGAGGUGUUCACAGAUGAAGACAAAGCGGGGAGUUGAACCAGCGACCUUUGGAUCACAGCACUUCAUGUGAGGAACUUCCUACAGUCCUCUGCUCUACCAACUGAGCUAUCGAGGUGCUCUCUACUCACAAGUGCAGAAAACAUAGUGGCUGAGACGACACACUUUGCCCACACAACUAUUUGAUCCACAUGGUCAAUGAAAAGCCCAGCCCUACCUGCAGAACAAAGCUUCGCAGUUUGUACCCAACAGUCAUUGCCAGGGACCCAGAACUGAUAAUCAGGACUUUUAGGCUUGGAUUUUGAUUGACAUGGCUAAUCAAAAGCCCAGUCCUACCUUCAGAACAGAGCUUCACAGUUUGUACCCAACAGUCGUUACCAAGGACCCAGAACUGAUAGUCAGGACUUUACAUUGGGUGAAUAAAAAAUUGAUGGUUGGAAAAUUAAGGAGGAGUUCUCUUGUUUGUGUUUUGACAUUUUGGAGGUGUUCACAGAUGAAGACAAGCGGGGAGUUGAACCAGCGACCUUUGGAUGACAGCACUUCAUGUGAGGAACUUCCUACAGUCCUCUGCUCUACCAACUGAGCUAUCGAGGUGCUGUCUACUCACAAGUGCAGAAAACAUAGUGGCUGAGACGACACACUUUGCCCACACAACUAUUUGAUCCACAUGGUCAAUGAAAAGCCCAGCCCUACCUGCAGAACAAAGCUUCGCAGUUUGUACCCAACAGUCAUUGCCAGGGACCCAGAACUGAUAAUCAGGACUUUUAGGCUUGGCUUUUUAUUGACAUGGCUAAUCAAAAGCCCAGUCCUACCUUCAGAACAGAGCUUCACAGUUUGUACCCGACAGUCAUUGCCAAGGACCCAGAACUGAUAGUCAGGACUUUAAUUGGGUGAAUAAAAAAUUGAUGGUUGGAAAAUUAAGGAGGAGUUCUCUUGUUUGUGUUUUGACAUUUUGGAGGUGUUCACAGAUGAAGACAAGGACAAAGGGAGUUGAACAAGCGACCUUUGGAUCACAGCACUUCAUGUGAGGAACUUCCUACAGUCCUCUGCUCUACCAACUGAGCUAUCGAGGUGCUCUCUACUCACAAGUGCAGAAAACAUAGUGGCUGAGACGACACACUUUGCCCACACAACUAUUUGAUCCACAUGGUCAAUGAAAAGCCAAGCCCUACCUGCAGAACAAAGCUUCGCAGUUUGUACCCAACAGUCAUUGCCAGGGACCCAGAACUGAUAAUCAGGACUUUUAAGCUUGGCUUUUGAUUGACAUGGCUAAUCAAAAGCCCAGUCCUACCUUCAGGACAGAGCUUCACAGUUUGUACCCGACAGUCAUUGCCAAGGACCCAGAACUGAUAGUCAGGACUUUAAGGCUGGGUGAAUAAAAAAUUGAUGGUUGGAAAAUUAAAGGAGGAGUUCUCUUGUUUGUGUUUUGACAUUUUGGAGGUGUUCACAGAUGAAGGACAAGCGGGGAGUUGAACCAGCGACCUUUGGAUCACAGCACUUCAUGUGAGGAACUUCCUACAGUCCUCUGCUCUACCAACUGAGCUAUCGAGGUGCUCUCUACUAACAAGUGCAGAAAACAUAGUGGCUGAGACGACACACUUUGCCCACACAACGAUUUGAUCCACAUGGUCAAUGAAAAGCCCAGUCCUACCUGCAGAACAAAGCUUCGCAGUUUGUACCCAACAGUCAUUGCCAGGGACCCAGAACUGAUAAUCAGGACUUUUAGGCUUGGCUUUUGAUUGACAUGGCUAAUCAAAAGCCCAGUCCUACCUUCAGAACAGAGCUUCACAGUUUGUACCCGACAGUCAUUGCCAAGGACCCAGAACUGAUAGUCAGGACUUUAAGGCUGGGUGAAUAAAAAAUUGAUGGUUGGAAAAUUAAGGAGGAGUUCUCUUGUUUGUGUUUUGACAUUUUGGAGGUGUUCACAGAUGAAGACAAGGACAAAUGGGGAGUUGAACCAGCGACCUUUGGAUCACAGCACUUCAUGUGAGAAACUUCCUACAGUCCUCUGCUCUACCAACUGAGCUAUCGAGGUGCUCUCUACUCACAAGUGCAGAAAACAUAGUGGCUGAGACGACACACUUUGCCCACACAACUAUUUGAUCCACAUGGUCAAUGAAAAGCCAAGCCCUACCUGCAGAACAAAGCUUCGCAGUUUGUACCCAACAGUCAUUGCCAGGGACCCAGAACUGAUAAUCAGGACUUUUAGGCUUGGAUUUUGAUUGACAUGGCUAAUCAAAAGCCCAGUCCUACCUUCAGAAAAGAGCUUCACAGUUUGUACCCAACAGUCAUUGCCAAGGACCCAGAACUGAUAGUCAGGACUUUACAUUGGGUGAAUAAAAAAUUGAUGGUUGGAAAAUUAAGGAGGAGUUCUCUUGUUUGUGUUUUGACAUUUUGGAGGUGUUCACAGAUGAAGACAAGCGGGGAGUUGAACCAGCGACCUUUGGAUGACAGCACUUCAUGUGAGGAACUUCCUACAGUCCUCUGCUCUACCAACUGAGCUAUCGAGGUGCUGUCUACUCACAAGUGCAGAAAACAUAGUGGCUGAGACGACAUACUUUGCCCACACAACUAUUUGAUCCACAUGGUCAAUGAAAAGCCCAGCCCUACCUGCAGAACAAAGCUUCGCAGUUUGUACCCAACAGUCAUUGCCAGGGACCCAGAACUGAUAAUCAGGACUUUUAGGCUUGGCUUUUGAUUGACAUGGCUAAUCAAAAGCCCAGUCCUACCUUCAGAACAGAGCUUCACAGUUUGUACCCGACAGUCAUUGCCAAGGACCCAGAACUGAUAGUCAGGACUUUACAUUGGGUGAAUAAAAAAUUGAUGGUUGGAAAAUUAAGGAGGAGUUCUCUUGUUUGUGUUUUUACAAUUUGGAGGUGUUCACAGAUGAAGACAAGGAAAAGCUGGGAGUUGAACCAGCGACCUUUGGAUCACAGCACUUCAUGUGAGGAACUUCCUACAGUCCUCUGCUCUACCAACUGAGCUAUCGAGGUGCUCUCUACUCACAAGUGCAGAAAACAUAGUGGCUGAGACGACACACUUUGCCCACACAACUAUUUGAUCCACAUGGUCAAUGAAAAGCCCAGCCCUACCUGCAGAACAAAGCUUCGCAGUUUGUACCCAACAGUCAUUGCCAGGGACCCAGAACUGAUAAUCAGGACUUUUAGGCUUGGCUUUUGAUUGACAUGGCUAAUCAAAAGCCCAGUCCUACCUUCAGAACAGAGCUUCCACAGUUUGUACCCAACAGUCAUUGCCAAGGACCCAGAACUGAUAGUCAGGACUUUAAGGCUGGGUGAAUAAAAAAUUGAUGGUUGGAAAAUUAAGGAGGAGUUCUCUUGUUUGUGUUUUGACAUUUUGGAGGUGUUCACAGAUGAAGACAAGCUGGGAGUUGAACCAGCGACCUUUGGAUCACAGCACUUCAUGUGAGGAACUUCCUAAAGUCCUCUGCUCUACCAACUGAGCUAUCGAGGUGCUCUCUACUCACAAGUGCAGAAAACAUAGUGGCUGAGACGACAAACUUUGCCCACACAACUAUUUGAUCCACAUGGUCAAUGAAAAGCCCAGCCCUACCUGCAGAACAAAGCUUCGCAGUUUGUACCCAACAGUCAUUACCAGGGACCCAGAACUGAUAAUCAGGACUUUUAGGCUUGGCUUUUGAUUGACAUGGCCAAUCAAAAGCCCAGUCCUACCUUCAGAACAGAGCUUCACAGUUUGUACCCGACAGUCAUUGCCAAGGACCCAGAACUGAUAGUCAGGACUUUAAGGCUGGGUGAAUAAAAAAUUGAUGGUUGGAAAAUUAAGGAGGAGUUGUCUUGUUUGUGUUUUGACAUUUUGGAGGUGUUCACAGAUGAAGACAAAUGGGGAGUUGAACAAGCGACCUUUGGAUCACAGCACUUCAUGUGAGGAACUUCCUACAGUCCUCUGCUCUACCAACUGAGCUAUCGAGGUGCUCUCUACUCACAAGUGCAGAAAACAUAGUGGCUGAGACGACACACUUUGCCCACACAACUAUUUGAUCCACAUGGUCAAUGAAAAGCCCAAGCCCUACCUGCAGAACAAAGCUUCGCAGUUUGUACCCAACAGUCAUUGCCAGGGACCCAGAACUGAUAAUCAGGACUUUUAGGCUUGGCUUUUUGAUUGACAUGGCUAAUCAAAAGCCCAGUCCUACCUUCAGAACAGAGCUUCACAGUUUGUACCCGACAGUCAUUGCCAAGGACCCAGAACUGAUAGUCAGGACUUUACAGGCUGGGUGAAUAAAAAAUUGAUGGUUGGAAAAUUAAGGAGGAGUUCUCUUGUUUGUGUUUUGACAUUUUGGAGGUGUUCACAGAUGAAGACAUGGACAAGCGGGGAGUUGAACCAGCGACCUUUGGAUAACAGCACUUCAUGUGAGGAACUUCCUAAAGUCCUCUGCUCUACCAACUGAGCUAUCGAGGUGCUGUCUACUCACACGUGCAGAAAACAUAGUGGCUGAGACGACACACUUUGCCCACACAACUAUUUGAUCCACAUGGUCAAUGAAAAGCCCAGCCCUACCUGCAGAACAAAGCUUCGCAGUUUGUACCCAACAGUCAUUACCAGGGACCCAGAACUGAUAAUCAGGACUUUUAGGCUUGGCUUUUCAUUGACAUGGCCAAUCAAAAGCCCAGUCCUACCUUCAGAACAGAGCUUCACAGUUUGUACCCGACAGUCAUUGCCAAGGACCCAGAACUGAUAGUCAGGACUUUAAGGCUGGGUGAAUAAAAAAUUGAUGGUUGGAAAAUUAAGGAGGAGUUCUCUUGUUUGUGUUUUGACAUUUUGGAGGUGUUCACAGAUGAAGACAAGGACAAAUGGGGAGUUGAACCAGCGACCUUUGGAUCACAGCACUUCCUACAGUCCUCUGCUCUACCAACUGAGCUAUCGAGGUGCUCUCUACUCACAAGUGCAGAAAACAUAGUGGCUGAGACGACACACUUUGCCCACACAACUAUUUGAUCCACAUGGUCAAUGAAAAGCCCAGCCCUACCUGCAGAACAAAGCUUCGCAGUUUGUACCCAACAGUCAUUACCAGGGACCCAGAACUGAUAAUCAGGACUUUAAGGCUUGGCUUUUCAUUGACAUGGCCAAUCAAAAGCCCAGUCCUACCUUCAGAACAGAGCUUCACAGUUUGUACCCGACAGUCAUUGCCAAGGACCCAGAACUGAUAGUCAGGACUUUAAGGCUGGGUGAAUAAAAAAUUGAUGGUUGGAAAAUUAAGGAGGAGUUCUCUUGUUUGUGUUUUGACAUUUUGGAGGUGUUCACAGAUGAAGACAAGGACAAAUGGGGAGUUGAACCAGCGACCUUUGGAUCAGAGCACUUCAUGUGAGGAACUUGCCUACAGUCCUCUGCUCUACCAACUGAGCUAUCGAGGUGCUCUCUACUCACAAGUGCAGAAAACAUAGUGGCUGAGACGACACACUUUGCCCACACAACUAUUUGAUCCACAUGGUCAAUGAAAAGCCAAGCCCUACCUGCAGAACAAAGCUUCGCAGUUUGUACCCAACAGUCAUUGCCAGGGACCCAGAACUGAUAAUCAGGACUUUUAGGCUUGGAUUUUGAUUGACAUGGCUAAUCAAA